UUCGGCCGUUCAGAAUCAUCCACACCGCUCGGAGUUCCAACCCAAGAAACUCCGCUGGGUCAUCAAUGCCGUGCAAGCAUACAUAAGCGCAUUAUCUGGACCAACUUAAACUCCAAAGGAGAUAAGAGGAACCAGAUAAGAGCAGAGUAGAAACAGGCUACGCUUCCCGUUUCCGGCGGGAUGGAUAACUCAUCGUCACGGACAGAGGUGUUGUCAAGAGCUGUAGCCCAAUACGAUCGGAUUCACUAUAGAAAUGAUCCCGUUCGAGUACAGUCGACAUU
rnacentral:snoRNA from 1 species